GGGUCAAUGAUGAGAACUCAUAUGGUCUCAAAGAGAGAUGAUGACCUAAAAUCAUACUCAAUAAGAUUAGUGUGAGGCCC